GGAGAAUGAUCAUACAAAGAAAAACCAUAAAAAAAUAUACCAGAAACUCUAUUUCCUAGUACAGAGGUUGCAAAGUUUAUCAUCUAGAGGCUAUCUGAUCAGAUCAGAUCAAAUGAAUUUAAAAGCAAUCAUUAUCUUUAUGAAUCCAACGACUAAUAAAUUACAACGUUGGUUUAGAAUGAUAUGUCGCGAUAGCACAAGAUUACUGCAGAGGAAAGUUGCGAUCGAUUUUCAGAGAAAAAUCAAAAGCAUUCGUACGAAGAGUUGAAAAAAAAGAAAAAUGCAGUUACGAGAAUAAGAAAUUGGAAAAAAAUUAUAUUCUACGGGAAAUUUUAUUUUAAGCAAAUUAAAGUUAUACAACAUGCAGUAAGAAAUUAUCUUUCUAUAAAAAAUAAAAGACUGGCAAUUAUGGUGUGUAGCUCUCUGUUGUGUCAGAUUUGUUCAUUUGUUCUCGUCCUCAUUGAACACAGGUGAUGUGUCAUUUUUCUAUAAGAAUUUUGUCAUUUUUUAAAGAGACCAAACUUUUAAUCUGUUAUGAAGUGUACGAUGAACCUUUUAGAUCUAAGUGCUUUAAGUUGUGUUCUUGUAUUUGUUUGUGUAUGUAUACAAUGUAUAAUUUACAAUUUUCACGAUUUUGAGUUUAAACUUGUACUAAAAAGUUUAAUAAAUCCAUAGUUUAGUCAUUUGAUAGUCAUAAAUCUGUGCGUAACUAGAUUUUCAUGUGCCAUGUGCAAAAUUUUAUUUUUGUAUCCUGUUUUUGAUUCAAAAAAAUUUUUU